rnacentral:rRNA from 1 species
AAUCAACGCUGGCGGCGUGCCUCAGACAUGCAAGUCGAACGCGAAAGUCCCCUUCGGGGGACGAAGUAGAGUGGCGCACGGGUGAGUAACACGUAGGUAAUCUACCUUCGGAUGGGGAAGUAACAACCGGAAACGGUUGCUAAUACCGCAUAAUGCAGCGGCACCUAAUGGUGACAGUUGUUAAAGCGGGGGAUCGAAAGACCUCGCGUCUGAAGAGGAGCCUGCGGCGGAUUAGCUAGNGGUUAAGGUAAUGGCUUACCAAGGCGACGAUCCGUAGCCGGCCUGAGAGGGGCGGUCGGCCACACUGACACUGACAUACGGGUCAGACUCCUACGGGAGGCAGCAGUCGGGAAUUUUGGG